GUUUCACCGCGCAGACUCGCUGGUGUUCUAGCGCAUUCCCUUGAUGCCUCCACGCAUGCGCAGUUGUACAUGGGAGCAUUGGGUAUCAAUUUGGUCAAACAGCGGGUGAUAAAAUGCAUAAGCUAAAAUCCUCCCAAAAGGACAAGGUACGGCAGUUCAUGUCCUUCACUCAAGCCGGGGAGAAGACCGCCGUAUACUGCCUCACUCAAAAUGACUGGAAACUAGAGGUGGCCACUGACAACUACUUUCAGAACCCAGAUUUGUACCACAAGGAAUCCAUGAAAAGCUCGGUGGACCGAAAAAAGCUGGAGCAGCUUUACAAUCGAUAUAAAGAUCCCCAGGAUGAGAAUAAGAUUGGGAUUGAUGGAAUUCAACAGUUCUGCGAUGACCUUAAUCUGGAUCCAGCGAGCAUCAGUGUUCUGGUUGUGGCAUGGAAAUUCCGUGCGGCAACACAGUGUGAAUUCAGCAAAAAAGAGUUCAUUGAUGGAAUGACAGAACUGGGCUGUGACAGUCCGGAGAAACUUCGAGCUCUUCUGCCCAGAUUAGAACAGGAUCUGAAAGACAGCGGAAAGUUUAAAGAUUUCUACCAGUUCACCUUCAACUUUGCUAAGAAUCCUGGACAAAAAGGUUUAGAUUUAGAGAUGGCAGUAGCAUAUUGGAACCUGGUUCUGGCUGGACGUUUUAAGUUCCUAGACCUCUGGAACAGAUUUUUAUUGUCUCUGCCCUUAUUUUGCGCAGGAGCAUCAUAAACGAUCAAUUCCCAAAGACACGUGGAACUUGCUUCUGGAUUUCGGCAACAUGAUUGCAGAUGACAUGUCAAACUAUGAUGAAGAAGGAGCAUGGCCCGUUCUCAUUGAUGACUUUGUGGAAUACGCUCGGCCAAUCGUGACAGGAUCAAAACGCAAAACUGUAUAGUAACGCUACCACUGGGCGAGAACUCGCACCUUGGUCGCCUCAUUGACUUUGUAGUUUUUUUUAAAGACUUGUAAGCAUAAUAAGAGAGAACUAAGUAAAACACUUGAAACCGACAAGUUUUGCAAAAGGAAAACAGGAUGGAAAAGACGACUCAGACUUCCACACACCACAUGGGAAGGACAAGAGCGCAAGACUCAAGAUUUCCGAUAGAGCCAUCAAAUGCACAUGGCCAGCUAUAUUUGCACUGGCUACUCAAUUCUAGCCUGAAACCCUUGGAGAUUUUGGGUGGAUAUCUUUGAACCUAGUACCUCAUCUCCAUAGCAAUCAGUGUCACUCUAUAGGGCAGAGUCCUCAUUGCCUACCCACUCCUUACAGUCUGAAUUAUGGAAUAGUCUCUCCAGUUUCAUUUUAGAUUAUGUACCCAUCUGUCUGGGUGUGUAUCUCAUGCAGGGCUUAAUGCUGAUCAUGUUUGCAUUUUAAGCCAGACGUUCAUGGGCAGCACAGCAUGCGGCUCGCAACACCAGCACUAUUGUUACAGUUGUAAAAUACUGUAUCUACUGCAGCAGUAUGUACAGAGAGAAAUGUAUUAUCAGUAAUGUUUUAUUAUAUGAAAUAUGAGACAUCUGAAAGAAAAGCGUGGUCUAAAAAAAAGAUGCCUCCAUACCAUGUUCUUGUGUGAUUUUAGGUCAAACGUGUCAUCUGCCUUGUUGCGGAACUUGUAACAACACGGUUCAGUGUUACUCUUUUCUUUCUUUUUUUUUUCUUUUUUUUUUUUGUUUACCAGAUUUAUGUUGAGAAAUAAAUUAUUGCCCUUUA